rnacentral:rRNA from 1 species
GCAAGUCGAACGGUAACAGAACUAGCUUGCUAGUUGCUGACGAGUGGCGGGCGGGUGAGUAACGCGUAGGAAUCUACCGAGUAGUGGGGGACAACAGUUGGAAACGACAGCUAAUACCGCAUAAGACCUAAGGGGGAAAGGAGGGGAUCUGUUUACAGACCUUUCGCUAUUUGAUGAGCCUGCGUGAGAUUAGCUAGUUGGUGAGGUAAGGGCUCACCAAGGCAACGAUCUCUAGCUGGUCUGAGAGAAUGAUC